rnacentral:pre_miRNA from 1 species
UAUAAGGGAUUUUGAGUUUUUACUUGCAACGUUUGACCACUCGUCUUAUUCAAAAUUUUUUGAAAUCAUUAUUUAUUUUAUUUAUGACUUAUUUUAUUAUCUUCAGUACUUUAAGCACAACUUUUCAUUUUUUAUAUUUGCAAAAAAAAUUGAAUAAGACGAGUAGUCAAACGUUGCAAUCAAAAACUCAAAAUCCCUUAUA